rnacentral:lncRNA from 1 species
AGUUAGAUACUCUUUCAAUAAACUCUCUUCAAAGCUCUAUUAAUUCAUAAGUCAGCGUCAAGUUUUCCAUUACCACUUCAACAACCGCUGUCGGCUAGUAGAGAGGAAACUAAAAUAUUGAAGUUAAAAUGUUUUCAUAAACAGAAGCUAGGAUAUCAAUAAAUUAUUUAAGAAUCAAAAUUCAGAUACAAGCCGAAUAAAUUAUUACGACAAAAAUAUUUUAUGUGGUUUCGAAUAAUAAAACAAAUCAAAUAACGAAUAAGUUAACAUUUAACAUUUGCAGAUAGAAAUUGACGGAGAUAUAAAUUGAGGGAGAUAGAAGAAAGGAAAAGUGGUAAAUUAGACAUGCUAAAGUUGGACCUUAUGAUUUCUUAUGUACUGCUCUUAGUGUUGACAGCCACGUGCGUUUUCACGAGCCCUUUGUGGCCAGGAAACAGGCAGCAUAAAUUACUAUCGUCAAGACAUAAACGGGAAAUACAGGGAAUUGAAGCUCAAGCCAACCCUGACAUUCCUGGCCCAUUGAUGCGCAUGCUUUUUAAGGAAAAGAAUCAUUUGUUGGACUUUUUGUCAACAAGAAGUCAUGAAGAGAAGCGACAGCGGCAAUGUUAUUGGUCCGUCAUUUCUUGUUACUAGGCAACCUCGUGCAGUAAUGCUGUGUAGGACAAACACGAACAUCCCGCAGUUAGUUUUAUUGACACCGGACAUUUUAAAACAAUUCUACCACGGAUAAUCACAUUAAAAGACAUUAAAACACGGAAAUGAUACGGUAAUGACACACUUGAAACAUUCAGAUAUGAUAUCAAGCUGUUAAGUCACAAGUGUUAUUUUUACAAUUUUUAUGGCUUCUGGUUUUAAAUAUUCUAGACCAGGAAAGGCAAUUAUUUUUCAGCUAGAUAUCAUUUUUGUCAAAGAAAACAUCGCCACCUUAUAUGAAAAUUAUCUAACUGUCUGUAGAUGAUUAUUCGGCCGAUAUUUUUCUCUAUAUAACUAAAAUGCAAAAAGCUGCAACAGGGCGUUGUUAUUUAAUCAGUGUGAGAAGUUUACCCAUUUUUAACAUUGAUUCUCUUGUUAGAUAUUAUUUUCCUAGAAUUAAUAUUGUUUGAAUAUUAAGGUCGACUAUCAGUGGUUAAUUCUAUUAGAAGAUAUUGAUUUUGUUUCAUUAAAAGAUACAAGUGUACGACAUCUUUCAUACUACAACAAAACUGUAUAAUAAAUAUCAUGACGACCAUGUGCAAUAUUUCAAUCGUUUAGAGGAUGAUUUAUUAAGAAAUUCAAAACGUUUUUUUGACUUUGUAUAAUUUUGGACAAAGAAAUGUAUUGUCUUUUCAGAGAUGACAACCAACGCAUUCCAAAACAAAAAUGAAAUAAGAGAUUUAUGAGUAUCGAUUUAUGCUUCCAAUAUUUCUUAAUUCAAACAAUUAAAAAAAUAAGCCCAGGCUUUCAUCUGUGGAUGAUCCCAUUUAUCAUUUUUGUGUUCAUGUGUGUAUUUAAGCGUUGUGUCAACGCCGAAUCCAAUAGCAGUAGUAUUUUACAAACGGCGGUAACUUUCUUUUUAUCCUGUCAGUGACCGAAACAUAUUUGUUAUAAUUGUGGGCACACAAUUCCUUAGUUGAAAUAUUUUCCAUCCGAUGAUCAUGGCUUCGAUUCGAAACGUGAUACAAAUUUGUUAUUUGUUAUAACUGUGCGCACUCAUUUUCUUAGACCAUUUCCUAUAGGAUGAUCAUGAUUUCGAUUACAAACUUGAUAAAAAAAAAUGUCAUUUAUUAUAACUGUGCGAACACAAUUUAUUUGUUAGACCAUUUCCUAUCCGAUGAUCGAUCAUGGUUUCAAUUACAAACGUGAUAUAUAUUUGUUGUUUAUUAUAACUGUGCCAACUCGAUUUCUUUCUUAGACCAUUUUCUAUCCAAUGAUUAUGGGCUUGAUUACAAACUUCAUAUAUGAUUGUUAUUUAUUAUAACUGUGCGCACUCAAUUGUUUUAGUUUGACCAUCUCUUAUCCAAUGAUCAUUAUUUCGAUUACAAACUUGAUAUAAAUUUGUUAUUUAUUAUAACUGUGCGCACUCAAUAUCUUAGUUUGAUCAUCUCCUAUCCAAUGAUCAUGAUUUCGAUUACAAACUUGA